UACGUAGGUGACAAGCGUUGUCCGGAUUUACUGGGCGUAAAGAGCGCGCAGGCGGUCGUUCAAGUCGAGUGUGAAAGCCCCCGGCUCAACUGGGGAGGGUCAUUCGAUACUGAUCGACUCGAAGGCAGGAGAGGGUAGUGGAAUUCCCGGUGUAGUGGUGAAAUGCGUAGAUAUCGGGAGGAACACCAGUGGCGAAGGCGACUCUUUGGCCUAUAACUGACGCUGAGGCGCGAAAGCGUGGGGAGCAAACAGG
rnacentral:rRNA from 1 species